UCUCAUGGAGGAACGAAAUCUCCAUGUCCACAAUCAAUGGAUACCACUUCAUUCCACAUCACAAGAUGUCCUCAAGACAGAAAAGAAAAGGAAGAUAGAUCUAAAACUUUUAAAUGCGAAGAUCAAAAACAAAACUGCACAACAGCUGGCCAAUAUAAAUACCACUGUGUAUUAAAUUCAAAAGGUGAUGGAUACAUUGAACUGUGUGCACCAGAAGUGGAAAUAAUUGGUAGACGCUGCACUGAAUUUACGACCGGAGGUAAAUUCCUCCAAGAACAUUUAGAGAGUAAAUGUGCAACGUGUCCAUUCAAAUACAAGUCAUCUGAAUGUUAUAAAUACAAUGAAUGCUACAAACUAGAAUUCCCGAGAACUCUUUCAAGUAUAAUAAAAGAGAA